rnacentral:lncRNA from 1 species
CAACAAAUUUCGUGGUUCAAGAAAUACAUGGAAUGGACAGUGAAUGUAAAUUAAUAAGAUGAUAAAAUCUGUCCAAUUCAAGUAAACACCAACUAAAGGGAAUAUAAAAUAUAGCAGAUUGUUAUGAAAAUUUAAUUCCAAUCCUAAAAGGGAAGAAUCCGAAGACGCAGUCCCCUGCAAUUCUGAAAACCAACUAUAUCUUGUUCUAAAUACAUGAUUCACCACAGGAAUAUUUUUCCCCGUCUAUUAUGCUUUGUAAGAAUCUGAAAUUGCACAAAAACAACUAUAUAUUGUUCUAAAAAUUUUGAAAUCCACCACAAGAAUAUUUUCAACUAAUCAAUCAAAAUCUAUUUCUACUGGUUUCAACUAACCCGUUCUUCUUCCAUCUCUUAAGGCUUUAAAUUGGAGAUUUGGAUUUUUUGGGAGUGAUUGAAUAGCAAACGGCAGCAACCGAGUCGGAGUUUGGAAGGACGAAGAAGACUUACCUGGGUAAUUUGAAUUGGGAAAUUGGAAAACACAAGUUUUAAAGCAAAAGAAAAAACCCGGUUGGUUCAAUUGCACAUGGGUCGACGGUUGGGCUAAAAACCCGCCGGCUUGACGGGUUUCCAACGGGUGGUUUGUCCACCUUUAAAUCUGUCUGACUCGGACAGGACCUAGGUCCGGUUCGACGGUUCUCGGAUUGAACCGGCCGGUCUGAUCCGAUCCGGGUUUUAUAAUUAUGGCUGU